rnacentral:misc_RNA from 1 species
GAUGAAGAACGCAGCGAAAUGCGAUAAGUAAUGUGAAUUGCAGAAUUCAGUGAAUCAUCGAAUCUUUGAACGCACAUUGCGCCCUCUGGUAUUCCGGGGGGCAUGCCUGUUCGAGCGUCAUUACAACCCUCAAGCUUUGCUUGGUAUUGGACAUUGCCAGUCUCUGGCAGGUCUUAAAAUCAGUGGCGGUGCCAUUUGGCUUCAAGCGUAGUAAUUCUUCUCGCUUUGGAGAUCCAAGUGGUUACUUGCCAAUAACCCCCAAUUUUUUCAGGUUGACCUCGGAUCAGGUAGGGAUACCCGCUGAACUUAAGCAUAUCAAUAAGCGGAGGA